GUGGCUGGCAUUUGAUGAGGACGAUGAGCAGAUUGAGCGCGUGCUGCCUGCAGCGAAGGACGAACAGCUGGUUGCCUUCAGCACUUUGUUCGCUGAUAGAACAGCCAAGGACUUGCGAGACGGCCACAUCUGGUACUCUGUGUACGGCCGCCCUGCCAGCAGCCCCUUCACCCGCACCCAGCGGGUCUCCUGCUGCCUGUCCAUCAUCAUGUGCACCAUGCUGGCAAACAUCAUGUUCUUCGGCCGAGGAGACGACUUCGACCCACCGGCACCCGUCACGAUCUUCGGGUUUGAUGUGGACAUCCCGAUAUCCUGGCCGCAGAUUAUCAUCGGUCUCCAGAGCGCCGCGGUGGUGUUUCCUAUCAACGCCAUCAUCAUCUGGAUUUUCAGGAACGUCAAACAGCGUCCUGAUGGUACACAAA